CCAGUGUCUGAGUAUCUAUCUUUUGUGGACAAUGGCGAUUUUUCUGUCGAUGGUGUGGUCUCUGAUUUUCCCUUAACUGCAUCUGCAUCCAUUGAUUGCUUCUCCCACAUUGGCAGGAACGCUACGAAACAAGUGGAUUUUCUUGUAAUAUCAAAAAAUGGUGCGAGUGGGGACUA